rnacentral:tRNA from 1 species
GGCUGGGUAGCUCAGUUGGUAGAGCAGCGGACUGAAAAUCCGCGUGUCGGCGGUUCGAUUCCGCCCCCAGCCACCA